CACAUGCAGUCGAACGAGAAAGGGGAGCAAUCCCUGAGUAGAGUGGCGCACGGGUGAGUAACACGUGACUAACCUACCCUUGAGCGGGGGAUAACCUAGGGAAACCUGGGCUAAUACCGCAUAAUACCUAUGGGUCAAAGCGAGCAAUCGCACUUAAGGAGGGGGUCGCGGCAGAUUAGUUAGUUGGUGAGGUAAUGGCUCACCAAGACGAUGAUCUGUAUCCGGCCUGAGAGGGCGCACGGACACACUGGAACUGAAACACGGUCCAGACUCCUACGGGAGUGCAGCAGUAGGGAAUUUUGCGCAAUGGGGGAAACCCUGACGCAGCAACGCCGCGUGGAGGAUGAAAUAUCUUGGUAUGUAAACUCCUUUCGAUCGGGACGAUAAUGACGGUACCGAUAGAAGAAGCCCCGGCUAACUUCGUGCCAGCAGCCGCGGUAAUACGAGGGGGGCAAGCGUUGUUCGGAAUUAUUGGGCGUAAAGGGUGCGUAGGC
rnacentral:rRNA from 1 species